UUAUAUUAGGUUAGGGCAAAAGUAAUUGUGGUUUUUGCUAAUACUUUUAAUGGCAAAAACCACAAUUACUUUUGCACCAACCUAAUAUCAU
ensembl:miRNA